rnacentral:tRNA from 1 species
AAGUGAGAAGCAAUAUUUGCAAUCAGUUUCGACCUGAUCUUAGAUAAAACCUUUUUUAUCCUUACUUU